UACGUAGGGGGCAAGCGUUGUCCGGAUUUAUUGGGCGUAAAGAGCUUGUAGGCGGUUUGUCGCGUCUGCUGUGAAAAUCCGGGGCUCAACCCCGGACUUGCAGUGGGUACGGGCAGGCUAGAGUGUGGUAGGGGAGACUGGAAUUCCUGGUGUAGCGGUGAAAUGCGCAGAUAUCAGGAGGAACACCGAUGGCGAAGGCAGGUCUCUGGGCCACUACUGACGCUGAGAAGCGAAAGCAUGGGGAGCGAACAGG
rnacentral:rRNA from 1 species